GGGACCCGAGAUCCUGGCGUGACCAAGCUCCUGGGAUCCUAUGAUCCUGUGGUUCUAGGCAUGUUAGAGCACCUGGAGUGGAGCUGCUUCUGCAUGUUCUGGGACUGGCUAAGGAGUUUGGGCCCAAGGUCUGCUCAGGGCACUGCUCAGACCGGAAGGAACCUGUGCCACUGGUUGGGUGGAGUUCCUGGGUGCCUGGGUCCUGCUGGUCCCAGUUACUCCCGGUGUUGGUGCAGAUGUUGUGGCCCCCUCACCUCUGAUCCUAUGAUCCUGGGCGUGUUAGAGUGCUUGGGAUUGGGGCUUCCUCUGAGUGUUGUGGGACUGGCUGCGGAGUUUUCACCCAAGGUCUGCUCAGGACUCCGGCUCAGACAGCAAGGCGGUAUGUACCUUUCAAAAUAAUAGACCUGACAGUUCACUUAUAACUUUUCUUAAUUCCUGCUUGCCAACUGAGCUGGAACAAAAGUUUUGGUUUUUUUAUCGAAUAGAUUAAUUUCAUGUGCCUGCAGUCAUGUACUAUAUACAUUUUUGUUAAGGCUUUUGAGAGUUUUGUUAAUACUUUUGAGAGUUAUUAUGUAUGUUGAUAAUCAUGUCUUUUGAUUGUCGGAUAAUAUUCUGUAGUAUGAAUCUUACUGCAUUUUAUUGGAAUAUCAUAUAGUAGUGAUAUUUUGCAUAUGCCCUCAUCUGCUUAUUAUAAUGCUUUCAUUAUUAUAUUAGUACUUGUUACUUUUUAUUUCUGAAUGGUAAAUAUAUCAUGAUUCAUUUCACACAUAUACCCAUACAAACAUAUUUAUAUACACUAUACUAAAAGUUCUAUUCAUUAUUGAAAAUGGGGCAUUGAAAUCUCUGCCAGGCUGGCAAGAUAAGAUGGCUUAACUGGUCAAGGUUAACUGUCCAGUCUUUUCUCAGACUGAGGAUCUGAGUUGCAUCCCUGAGACCCACAUGGUAGAAGGAGAAAACCAACUUCCUCAAGUUAUCUUCUGACCUCCACAUGUGUACUGUGAUAUGCACAUGCCCAAACAUACUCAUGCAAAAUAAGCAAAUAAAACUGUAAUAAAAUAUCCUACUGUUGUUACUAAUAUUUCUCAUGUCAUCUUUGUGAAUAUUUGCUACAUGUAUUUGGUUGCUCUGAUGUUUAGUGCAUAUAUGCUUAAAACUAUUCUGCCUUUCUGCUGCUGAGUAGACCAACUUUUUCUAUACCCAUUCCUCUUGUGACAGUCUUUGACUUGUAGUCUGUAUUGUUUGAUCUAAGUUUUGCCACUUCUGUUCUUUGUGGUUACCAUGUAUAUUGAAUAUGUUUCCAUUCUUUGUUUAAUAUAUGUCUUUAUAGCCAAGGCUUGUCUCUUUAUUUUAUUGAUUAAAUUUGUUCUUUGAUAGUUUCAUACUUGUAUAUAAUGCAUUCUGUUUCUUCUUUCUCCUGUUUUCUGUUAUUUCCUUCCUACCCCUGUCAUCAUUUCCUCCUCCUUCCAAGUCAAGGUCACUUUUUCAAAUUCAUAUCUUCUUGUUUUCUGACCCACUGAUUUUAAUCAGAAUUAUUUUUGUGGCCUGGGGUUUGGAACUAUAUCCACUUGGACCUGGUGAGCUUAUCUUUGAAUACAACUGAAGAUAAUUCCUGAUGUUCCCCAGGAUCUGUUGGUAUUCAGAAGUUCAGUAUGGAGGGGUAAAGCUUUGUAAACUCCCCCAAUCCAUGUCUGGCUGCAGAUAGGCCCAGUUUUGUGAAGCCUGGUAUAAGCUCAGAGCUGCUGUGGAGAUCAUGAUCACCAUGCUGUCAUGCUCUGGAGAGAGUUUUUUACAGCCUGUCUUCCAAUAUCCAGGCUCUCCAUUCUCUCUGUUCCCUCUGUUGUGAUGUUCCCUGAACUUUAGAGGGUACUAUCAAUAACCUGUUUAGAGCUGACCUUAGGAUUACACUUAUUCUUAGAACUUUGACUGGUUAUGAGUCAGGUUCAUUGCAAUUCAUUUAAAGAGAAGUUUCUGUGAUUGAGACUGUAAUAAAUAUUUAGAUUUUAGUUUGGUUCUGUGAUGGUUGGAAUGAAUAUGAGUCCUGUGGACUUAUAAGGAGUGGCACUAUUAGGAGGUGUGGCCUUGUUGGAGGAAGUUUGACACUGGAGGUGGGCUUUGAGGUUUCAGAUGCUGAAGCCAGGCCCAGUGUUUCUCUCUCUCCCUACUGAUUCCUGAUCCACAUGAAGAACUCUUGGCUCCUCUCAAGCACCAUGAUUGCCUGUGCCUGCUGUGCUUUCCACCAUAAUGAUAAUGGACUAAACCUCUAAAACUGUAAGCCAUCCCAAAUCAAAUGUUUCCCUUAAUAAGAGUUGCCUGAGACUGGUGUCUCUUCACAGCAAUUGAACACUAAGACAGGUUCUAUUCCAAUUUAUCUAAAAAUUAGUAGUGAGUUCCCUCAUUCCACUAUGAUCUCCUUAAUCAUGGGUUUUUUGAUCAUUUUUAUACUGUUGUAAGGCUUGUGCUUAUAGACAGCAAUUAGUUGCAUAUUGUCUUGUUAAUUCAUCCAGUUAUGCUAUGAUUUUGUUUUGUUUUUGUUUUGGAGAGAUUUAACAUACUUAUAUUUAAAGUAAUUAACCAGAGACUACUGGUUCACACACUUGGAGUCCCAUUAAAAACACUAAGCUAGAAGGUAUAGUAUAUAUGCAAAGGACCUGGUGAAGACCCUUCCAGACCUGUGCAGGUCUGGGUUUCUAUGAAUUUUUUUGUCUUCAUGAUUAGGAUGAGUUUUGGUUUUGGUAUGAAUAUCAACUGGUGAGUGUUCUUUAGUGUUAGGUAUCAAGGCAUUCACGAUGUUGCUAUCAUUGGUGGUAUUACCUUUGGCAGACAUUGACCCAUGAAUUUUUAAAGUAUACCUCGUCUGAAAUAAUCAUUUGAAAUUUGCUUAAUGAUAUUUCUAAUUUUUGUGGAUGGCAGCAGGUAGAGGUGUAGGUUCAUGUAUUUUAAUAUAGAGGUCAAACACCCUUAUAGUACUAGAAUUUCAGGUUAUGUUUUGCUUUUAAGAUUUAUUUUGUUUUGCUUGCACAUAUGUAUAUGUGCCUGGUGUCUUUGGGCCAGAAGAGGGCAUUGGAUUCCCUGGAACUGGAAUUAUAGAUGAUUGUGAAUCUCUCAGUGGGUCUGGCAAGCAAACCUAGAUUCUCUGUAAGAGCAUCGAGCCAUUUUUCCAGCUUUAGUUUCACUCUGAAUAGCUUGAUACCUUAAAAAUGUUAAUUGACCUUGUAAGAGUCUCUGUUUGGAUAGUUGGUUUGGUUCAAUUGCUCUAUUUUUAUAUCAAUCUUAGACAGUUUUUAUUAUUAUGUGAGGGAGUUCCUGAAUAACUAAGAAAAGCUUUAAACAACGUACAUUUAUUUCCCACAGUUUGUUGGGUACUGAUGAAGGCUCGUUUGUGGAUCAUUGAUGACCAUCUUGCUUUCUUUUCCCUUCUGUAGUGGAGAAGCAAUCUUUAUCUUAUCUCUCUGUCUGGGCACUAACCACCCCCACCCCCCAAGGGUCUCAUUCUCUGCGACUGAUUACUUCCCAGAGGCCGGCUCUUCAGGUAAAGCAGCAGGAAGACAUGGUCAAGGCCAAAAGAUGUCUCAAAAAAUGAUCACUAAGUACCACCACCACCACUGUAAAAAGUCACUGUAAACUGAAAAGGUAGCAUUUUCAUAAAUAAAUAAUUUUAUUUUUAUUUACCCAUUAUAAUAUAUUCAUGAGUUUACUCUUAUAUCAUUGGGUUUUAGUGGCUUAACAAUUUUAGAAAAAGUCCAAUUCUCAUAUUCCCCAUGUCUUUAUGUAAGGACCAAAGAGCAACAUUUCUGAUCUAAUUUUGUGUAUAUUCUGUUUUGGAGUAUUAAGUAGAAAAGUUGGAUUAGAUUCUAAUAGAGUAAUCUUUGUCUUUUUAAAAUUUGAACAAUAUUGAUCUUUUUCAAAUUAAAAUUAGAUUCUCAAGUUUGUGAAAUUAUUGUUCUACUUCAUAUGAAACAUGAUCUUUAUUCAUAUAAGCUCUAAGUAAAUAUCUGGGAAUCAUAAUUUUAUAUUGGAUGAUCUUUUCUUGCUUUUGUAAUAUUUUCCUCAAAGUUCUUUUGAUUUUAAUAGUUACUUCCUAAUCAACAAAUAAAGUCAAAACCUCUUCUGCAUUCAUUGUUUUGAACCCAUUACUAUGUCUACAAAUAAGCAUCAUUGAGGCCCCGUUAAGAACUAUGAAGUAUAUAAGAUUAUGUGCAGAUGUCGGCAAAGGCUUAAAUAUAGACUUUAUCUUCGGGAGGUCUCUGGUUUUGAAAUGAGUAGUGCUUCUGUUCUGGGAUGCACAUUUACCUGCAAAUCAAAGAUGAGAUGAGGAGAGAAUUUAAGUGACAUUGGAGGUUUUCAUUUAUUUCUUCUUAUUUGUACUUUAAGUUUUAUUGUGAUUAUAUUUAAGUAUUCACUUAUAUCUUUUUUAAAGUACCUCUGGAAUAGUUAUUAAAUUUAAAGCAACAUUUAAAUAAGAAUAUUUUAAUAUCCAAUUAUGAAAAUUAUAGAAAUUAUACAAAUGGUUUAUUUCCCAGUUUUAUUCUUUUUUAACCUAUUGAUUUUUGUUUUGCUUAUAUCUGAAAAUGAGGAAAAAAUGUGUGCUUAGAGAGCAAUUAUUUUAUUUUAUUGAGGACAUAUCUUAAAAGUCAAGAAGUGAAGCCGCUUGGUAAUGCUAUAAAUUUGAAACUGUCCUACAGCAAGACACUACGAUGCAAAUAGGACUUAAUAAGAUCACAAACUGAAUUUCAGUGAAACAACCAAGAUUUACAUUAAAUUAGGAAUUUUAAAACUGAUUUAGUUUGUUUUACUGAGCAUUUGCUUAAUAACAUUUUGCCUUCUUGCAAUCUUUUUAAAGACAAUAAUUCGUCUGUGAAAUGCAGGCACAUCUUCAGUAGAAAAAUUGAAAGUAACAGCUCACUUUCUGAAACCACACAUAUAGCGAUAUAAAGAAAUAUUUCAGCUCUACAAAAUUUAAUAAAUCAUCCCAUUUCCUAAUUUGAUCAUAUUAGAUGCUGAUGUGGAAGAAGCAUUUGAAAUACCAUCUCCUCAUUAAUAUACAUCAGUCUGGGGAAUAGAAUGGAAUACUUAUGCAGAGAUGUCACAGUUACUGUUUCUUAGUUUACUAAGUGGAACAGGUUGAUGUGAUACCGGGUGCUAUUUGUCAAUGUCUUGUUAAAAUGGUUUGGGUCGAGUUAUGGAGUCCAGAAAGACGGCGGCUGAUAAAUCAAAAGUGGAUUGAGUGGACAGGAGGCAGUGAUUGAUACUGUGACAGGAUAUGAGGAAAGGAGCCUAGAUGCAAGCAUGCAUGAUACUGAAUAUGAGAGAGAAGAUGGCCCCGGAGUAUGGAUAUUAUUCAAGGAAAUGAGAAUAAUAUUAUCAGCCUGAAAAUAUUGCUGGGUGAAGAUUAGGAUACUUCUUAUUAGAGCAUAAUGCUUUGCCAGAAUGGUAGGGAUAAAUGUAUGUAACAAUGCAUGUGAGAAGAAUGUUCAACUUCUUCCUGAAGACGCUUGAAUGAUUACUCACUUUUAAAGAGAGUUUUAGCAUUAUUUUUUAACUUUAUCAUAUGUAAGCCAUAUGUUUAUGUAUGCUCUAACUCCUGUGAAGUUAGUCUUAGAGAACAAUUAUUACAUAUAAAUUUCAUAAAACUGUAGUGUUCAUUGAUAAAUUAUGAAGAUGAAUAUUUUCCUAUCACUCCAUUUUCACUCAUAAAAUUAGGUUGUUACUACCUUCAAGUGAGAGAUCUUCAGCGCAUAGUUUCUAGCAUCUUUUAGAUGGUCAUUUUGGGCAGCAGGCAGAGGAUUCUCGAUGGAGCUAUUGCAGAAGGAUCAAGGCUGGUGCUGAGCAGUCUUUCCUGAAUUGUCACAGAAAUGCUAGCUGAUAUGAUAGCAGGGGACUCCUGGGCAUCCUUUGUUCUUGACUAAGUAUAAGUAGGAAGAACUUUCUUUGCUGUCUUAUUGGAAGUGUUCUUUAACAUAGGUAGAAGAAGAAGCUCUUUGAAAGGUCAUUUAGUUAACUUUUAAUUAUCUCUGUGAUUUAUAUUAUAUUUGUAAGAGACACAGAGUUACACAGUUGCUAAAUAAUUGUAGGUCUAAUGUUUUACUUUUGUGUUUAGUGGUUUUUUUCUUCUUAAGUUCUUAAUACUUAUCACUCAAUUUCUGUUUUGUAUCUAAUAGAAAGAAUUUGAAAUGAGGCAUUAUGAAGUAUUCAGGUAGCCUGAAUCAUUAGAGAUGAGUUUAUGGGUUUAUUGACAAGGUUUUUCCAGACCUAAAGAUUCUGAUAAUAAUGUGAAUACUAUUGUUAAAUUUCUUAAGACCUCAUUAAUUAAAUAAACCUUCUGUUUCCAAGUUUCUCACCCUCAAUAUUUGGAAAACCAGUAAACAACAUGUAUUUGUUUGUUUGUUUGUUUGUUUAUUAGACGAUUUCUCAUUGUAUACCCUGUCAGGCCUAAAACUGACUAUGUAGACCUUGGACUGACUCUGCCUCCUGAGUGCUGGGAUUAAAGGCUUGCAGUACUGCUUGCUACUAAUAUACAUACAUAUAUACAUACAUACAGAUGUACAUACAUACAUGCGUACAUACAUAUGUAUAUAUUUUUUCAUUCUUAACUGUGCUAUUCAUUAUGACAAGUUAUUUUCUUCUUCCUCUUCUCGUGCUAAGAUUGCACGCAGCACCUUGUGCAUGCUAGGCAGGCACUGACCACAAAGCCACCUCCUUGGCCUUCUAACAUUUUUUAUGAUCCAGAUUGUUUUUUAUGAAUAUUUAAGAUAGGAAAAACAGUCAUUUCCAAAUCAUUUAUUUCUUACUUGUUAUUUUCUAGAAUUUCUCUUUUAGUGUUUAGAAUAUAAACAAAGUGUUGAUAAGGCCACUAUCCCUUUGUGAUAUGUCUCCUCCCUUGUGUUUCAAUCACGUAUUUCCACACCUAGUCAUAACAUGUCAAUGUUUUAGUAAUUCUUUUGUCUGUGUAGGUUGCCCUGAAGGUGGGUUAUUUCUGCUCAAAAUGUUCUCCUACGUAAUCAUUUCUUCUUCUUUUGUUUGUAGGUGUAUGGUGUAUAUGUAUGUCCAUGUUCAUGUGUGCAUGUGUGUAUAUUUGGGCAGAUGCACAUAGAUGUAUGUGUCAGAUGUCUUCCUCAAACUCUCUCCAUCUUAACUGUUUGAGAUAGGGUCUUUCUUAAACCUGGAGGUCACCGAUUUGCUUAGGCUGGCUGGCUAGCAAGCCUAGGGAUUUGAUUACAGUUGCGUAUUGCUGUGCCUGGAUUUUAUGUGGGUGCUGGUGAUCUGAACUCAGGUCCUUAUUCGUCCACUGAGCCAUCUCUCCAGCUCUACUUACCACUCUUUCCCUCUCUUCCUUCUUCCCUCUCUCUGACCUUUUGUCCUUCCUUAGUUUUUGAGGCGAGGUCUCAGUGUGUAUCUUAGGCUCACGACCUUGUGAUCCUCUUGCUUCAGCCUCGUAGUUGUAAAAGCGUGGCGGUGCAGCUAACGCAGUGGCUCUAACCAGUUACCUGCGUUCACAUUAUUGCCUACUUGCUCGUUGUCUUAGAUUAUUAUUUUUUCCUGUUGCUGUGAUAAGAUACCUGGGAAAAUUGACUUAAGGGAGAAAGGAUUUAUUGCUCACAUUCAGGGAUCCAUCAUGGUGGGGAAUGCAAGGCAGUGGGAGCUUGAAGCAGCUGGACACAUCACAUCUACAGUAAGAGCAAAAAACAGUGCAUAUGGAUGGAGCCAGAUGACUCCAUUUUUAUACAGUCCUGGGUCCCCUACAUAGAGAAAUGGUGCCACCUUAGAGUCUCCCUAGCUGAGUCUAGAUCUCAUCAAGUUGACAGUUUCACUAAUCAUUACAAUUAAGUUUUAAAAUAAAGGAUAUCUUAUUUUAUUGGUUCCCAAAGGACAAACCUAUUUAAGUCAUAGCCUCUUUUAUUUAAGAUCUAUUUAUGUUUCUGUGUUACAUGAGUGUAUGCCUUAUCUCUGUGUGGCUCCUAUUGAGGCCAGAAGAGGAUGUCAGAUCCCUUGGAGCUAGAACUGCAGAUGAUUGUGAUCCAUGUGACGUGGGUGCUGGCAACAGAACUCAGGGCCUCUGCAUGAGCAGCUCAUGCUCUUGGUCAAUACAGUCAGUUUGUAAGUUAAAAUUUAAA